AGAAGAAUUCCAUUAACAUUUGUAGAUAAGUCAGUUAUGAGAGGGGAAAGCAUCAGAGAAAAGGCUGUAGGGAAUAGUCUUAAUGUAUCAGUUCAAGGAACCAACAAAGACCAAGAGGUUUAUACAUCUCGCAAACCUUACUCCAUAACCAAGGGACAUAACUGCAAGAGACUCUGGCUUCCAUUAUCACCAUGUUAUAACUAGAUUACAAAGUUGAGUAAUAAGCCAGCAUAAAGAUUCCUGCAAUAGUAAAGAUAUGGCAACAAGGUGCCUAAAGGACCCAAAUGAGAAGAAAAUGCACUCAGAAUUUCAUGGGAUCAGGCAAACUGAAAAAAAAAUAAGAUGGUCUAGAUAAAAUAAGACUACUCACAAGCUUUUCCAAAUAGCUGUCAUCUGGGAAAAAAAAGGGGUGAGGGUUUGGAAGGAGAACAAAUAAAUGUAUUUGCUAAUAAGCAGGAACAUAAUACAGCACCUACUUCCUUAGCAAACCGAAUCAGUAUUUUUGCAGUCAGGCACCUUUGGCCUGGAAGGAUGAGGGGGUUGUUGACACUUUUAAUCUACAAUAGGGAUAGUUUAAAAUGCCCUUAGUUUCAAAAAAGCUGUCAGCACAAUUUUGUUUUUCACAAUUAACCUGGGCAGAAGUGGCAUCAUGACUAACAGGGGGAAAAAAAAUCUUCUUCAGUCCAGUGUACAAAGCUCUAAAAAACACAUCAGGUUGUCUGAAAAAUCAAUCUCUAAAGUGGUGUGUAAACAUGAACGAAAACUGACAAAAGCUUCCUCCACAGUAAGCAGUUUGAAAACAAUUGUCACA